rnacentral:rRNA from 1 species
GAUGAACGCUGGCGGCGUGCCUAAUACAUGCAAGUCGAGCGAACGGACGAGAAGCUUGCUUCUCUGAUGUUAGCGGCGGACGGGUGAGUAACACGUGGAUAACCUACCUAUAAGACUGGGAUAACUUCGGGAAACCGGAGCUAAUACCGGAUAAUAUUUUGAACCGCAUGGUUCAAAAGUGAAAGACGGACUUGCUGUCACUUAUAGAUGGAUCCGCGCUGCAUUAGCUAGUUGGUAAGGUAACGGCUUACCAAGGCAACGAUGCAUAGCCGACCUGAGAGGGUGAUCGGCCACACUGGAACUGAGACACGGUCCAGACUCCUACGGGAGGCAGCAGUAGGGAAUCUUCCGCAAUGGGCGAAAGCCUGACGGAGCAACGCCGCGUGAGUGAUGAAGGUCUUCGGAUCGUAAAACUCUGUUAUUAGGGAAGAACAUAUGUGUAAGUAACUGUGCACAUCUUGACGGUACCUAAUCAGAAAGCCACGGCUAACUACGU